UUUAUUAGUGCAAUAAACUUGAGUAAAUUGUGAAUUAAAGGAUGAUUAUAAAAAUAAUUGGGAAACUUCUUUCCAAAGAUAUAUGUUGAUUCGUGAAUAAAAGUGACCUGAAAAUUGAUUCAAGGAAGUUUUCAUUAUUUCUAAUACUGAGAUCAAUUUCAUACCUAGAGAAAAACAGGUUGAUGUCAGUAGCAAAUAGCAGGUAAAAUAUGGUACUCAUAUGUAUUUACUAACUUGUCCUCCUGUUAAUUGUUAUGUUUGAGUGUGUGUGUGUGUGUUGCUGGUAAGAAAACACAAAAACCUAACAUAAUUUUCCUAUGAUGAAUGGAUUUAUAGUUGUUGUUGUUGCUGUUGUUUUCCAAUACAGCUUAGUAAGAUUUUUCGGCUAUGGGAAAUGAAAAGCAAAUUCCAAAGGUUCUCAAGCCUCUUUAGGAGACCUUAAUCUUGUGGUCUGUUUCUGUCAUUCUAAAAUUUUAGAAAUCUUAAAAUAUAUUUUUCUGUUUUUGAUGU